AUUCAGCUACACUGAUCGUGUUUGUGUUCCGGGUGGGGUGAGUCAGAAGUGGACCUUUUGGGUAACAUCCCACAAGUGUAUCUAUUCUCAGAUUUUUUGCUCCACUGAGAUUCAGGAACCUCUGAGCUUCCAUAAAGGUAUCUGCUCUGCCCUGGUGUUUGUGCAAUUUCCUCAGAGUUUUGCUUCAGUGUUUUCAGGUGCUGAUUUUUCUGUAUUGAGAAAUCUGAAAA